rnacentral:rRNA from 3 species
CCUGCCGUUGGAUCAGU